UGGGGAAUAUUGGGGCAAUGGGCGCAAGCCUGACCCAGCAACGCCGCGUGAAGGAAGAAGGCUUCGGGUUGUAAACUUCUUUUGUCAGGGACGAAGCAAGUGACGGUACCUGACGAAUAAGCCACGGCUAACUACGUGCC
rnacentral:rRNA from 1 species